GAACGAUGUCAGGCGGCAGGGUGCUCGUU
rnacentral:sRNA from 1 species